rnacentral:rRNA from 1 species
UGCAAGUCGAACGCGAAGACCCAGCAAUGGGUUGGUAGCGUGGCAAACGGGUGAGUAACGCGUGGGCGACCUACCUCCGAGUGGGGGAUAACCUUCCGAAAGGGAGGCUAAUACCGCAUGACAUGCCCUGUUUAGAUACAGGGACAUCAAAGCCGGGGAUCGCAAGACCUGGCGCUUGAAGAGGGGCCUACGUCCGAUUAGCUAGUUGGUGGGGUAACGGCUCACCAAGGCGACGAUCGGUAUCCGGCCUGAGAGGGCGGACGGACACACUGGGACUGAGACACGGCCCAGACUCCUACGGGAGGCAGCAGUAGGGAAUUGUUCGCAAUGGGCGCAAGCCUGACGACGCAACGCCGCGUGGAGGAUGAAGACCUUCGGGUCGUAAACUCCUUUCGGCAGAGAUGAACACCUCUCGACCUAAUACGUUGAGAGGCUGACAGUAUCUAGGGAAGAAGCCCCGGCUAACUCCGUGCCAGCAGCCGCGGUAAUACGGGGGGGGCAAGCGUUGUUCGGAAUUACUGGGCGUAAAGGGUUCGUAGGUGGCCAACUAAGUCAGACGUGAAAUCCCUCAGCUUAACUGGGGAACUGCGUCUGAUACUGGUUGGCUUGAGUGCAGGAGAGGAACGCGGAAUUCCAGGUGUAGCGGUGAAAUGCGUAGAUAUCUGGAGGAACACCGGUGGCGAAGGCGGCGUUCUGGACUGCAACUGACACUGAGGAACGAAAGCCAGGGGAGCAAACGGGAUUAGAUACCCCGGUAGUCCUGGCCCUAAACGAUGAAUGCUUGGUGUGGCGGGUAUCGAUCCCUGCCGUGCCGAAGUUAACGCGAUAAGCAUUCCGCCUGGGGAGUACGGUCGCAAGGCUG